AUUCCCCUCACUGUCAUCAAUACCUGCUUUGCUGAAGCAGAAUGUCAAGAAGGAAAUUGGGACUCGACAUUUGAAGUCUUAAAAUUUACUGAAUUUUCUCCCCAGCUUUAUUUUCAGCGCAGAGUUCUGCAGUACUGACUUUGAAAUGCAUGCUUUCGGCUCCUGUAUCUUGUUUCUGGGAAGAGCCUAUCAACAGAGUGGAUUUCAACAAAGUCUGCCUUGACCAUGAAAGUAUUACACUACUCAGCACACCAAAGGCAGUGGUAAUUCUGUGAGCUUCCCUCCCACCCUGGAGUUUAUGUGAGGUAGGCUAGGCUAAUGGUUUAUAGCAAAUUGUAGUAAGUUUUUACACUAAAGGAAAAACACAGCAGGUAGUAUGUGUGUAAAGAAUAUUGGUUUUUCUACUGUCGUUGGAGAUAGUGUAACUGCUGGAUGGUGGCAAAUCAGUAUCAGAGUCAGAGCUUUUAUCUUUAUAUGCUGAUGGUAUUGUAGACCAGUUUACAAUGCCAAUGAUUGGGCUUUUGUCUAUUUAAAACAUGGCUGAAGACUAAUGAGCAACCAACUCCAGUGACCUUUUAAAACUGCAGGUAUCUUCAGCCUGCUGAAAAAUAAGUCCACAGUUUAAAAAUCCAGAGCUAUUGUCUUCACACGGAACAAAAAAAAGCAUAGGAGUAUAAAAAGUUCAACCCCAUAUUCCUCAUCUUAUUCUGUGGGAGUUAUUCUUGAACAUGCAAGACUCCACACAUUAUUCCUAAGAGUGCUUACAUCUGACAACCUCUUUUGUAAUAUGUCUGGUGUUAUCGUUCUUUUCUUUUUAAUAAUGACCUGCUAUUAUUCAGAAAUAGGUGGGCUACAGUGGUCCAGGCUAUUUUAGAUCAACAAAGACUGUGCUUUCUAAAGCCAAACUGUGUGAGUACUCUUUAAAACCCUCUUUCUUUUAAAAAAAUCUGAUGUUCUCAAAAACUUGAGGUUGUACAUUUGCUAUAACAAGCUAUAUGCUGCUGCUGUGUUGGGGGUUUUUGAAAUAAAAUGUUUUCCAAAUAAAUAGCAAAAUUCCCCAUAGAUACUAGGGUCUCAGAAGUAGCGCUAAACAUCUGGCUUGUCUCUGUAGACUGCACCAUGUGGUAGCCGAAAUAUCUGGUUCAGUGCUGUGCCUGUCUCCCAAAUAUAUUCAAAACAUCAACUUUUCUUGGAGAACAUUUGGUAGAAGCUUCCUUCAUUGCUUUAAGCCAGUUCCCAUGUGGAUAUUACUUCUUCAGAUCGAUGUGAAAUUAUUCAGAUUAGAAAAAAGUGAAGUUGUCAACA